GACGAACGCUGGCGGCGUGCUUAACACAUGCAAGUCGAACGGAAAGGCCCCUUUGGGGGUCCUCGAGUGGCGAACGGGUGAGUAACACGUGAGUAACCUGCCCUUGACUUCGGGAUAACUUCAGGAAACUGGGGCUAAUACCGGAUAGGAAUCCUUGCUGCAGGGUGGGGGGUGGAAAGCUUCGGCGGUUUUGGAUGGACGCGCGGCUGAUUAGCUUGUUGGUGGGGGAGUGGCUUACCAAGGCUUUGACGGGUAGCCGGCCUGAGAGGGCGACCGGCCACAUUGGGACUGAGAUACGGCCCAGACGCCGACGGGAGGCAGAAGUGGGGAAGAUUGAACAAGGGGCGGAAGCCUGAUGCAGCAACGCCGCGGGCGGGAGGACGGCCUUCGGGUUGUAAACCGCUUUCAGCAGGGGCGAAGCUUGUGGUGACGGUACCUGCAGAAGAAGCACCGGCUAACUACGUG
rnacentral:rRNA from 1 species